UGUGCAUUGUGAUAGUAACAUUUUAUCAAGCAGAACUACCUUCGUCAGACGACGAAAAGUCAAGAUAAGCAAACAAAUAAAUUUGAUUGCUUAAAGAGCAGAUACAUUGAAUACGAUGCAUACAUAAUUCAGUGUUAAUUUGAUUGUUUCCAGGCACAAAACAAUAAUUCAAUACACGAAGAAGAACUUUUUAAAAAAAAUCAUUUCUCAUUGUGAAUCAAGAAUCACCAAUGGCUACUAUAGAAGUGAGACGCCAAUUUUUCUCAGCAAUUUCAGCCAAUUUCAUUGGGUUUUCUUUUGGGUGGGCAUGUGCAUGGGCUAAUGUUAAUUUUUUGGAAUUACAGUCACCCAAUACAAAAUUACAAGAUGGACCAAUUUCUUAUGACGAGGCAUCCCUAGUUAUGUCCCUCAUUUGCGCUGGAGGUUUAAUGGGAAACAUAGUAUAUUUAUGGGCUUUGGAUAAAUUCGGAAGAAAGAAACCAAUCAUGUUCCUUGCUUUUCCAACAAUCUUAAGCUGGACGUUCAUUAUUUUCGCAAAAAACGCAUAUUGGCUUUACAUUUCACGCGUUUUGUGUGGGUUCAUUGGUGGGGGACUUUUUAUUUCAAUUCCAAUUUUCGUAUCUGAAAUUUGUUCAGACAGCAUUCGAGGAACAAUGAAUGCCAUGGGUUUCCUUGUGAAUUCGUUGGGAAGUUUAGUAGGUUUCACCGUUGCGAUAUUCCUGGAUUUUCAAAUGCAAGCAGUUAGCGCUUUAUCAGUUCCUAUUCUGUUCGCAUUUGUAUUCUAUUUUGUUCCGGAAUCGCCGAUGAUUUUAUAUAAAAAGAAUGAAAUAGAGCUGGCAGAUAUGUCGCUUGAGUUUUACAAAGGAGUGACUACAACACCUGAAUUGGAGAAAUUUAUGACAGAAAAAAAAACUCCCAAAGAUAACGGCUUGAGUAUCAGUGAUUUUGUCGGAACGCGAUCUACCCGUAGGGCAGUUUCAAUAGCAUUAUUUUUGGUGUUUUUGCCGCAGUUCUGUGGAUGUUACAUUUUAUUAUCGUAUACAACUCCUUUUUUUGCGGAGGCUGGAUCAUCCCUAACGCCUAUUCAAUCAUCGAUUUUAAUAUGUGUUGUUCAGCUAUUGGCCAAUUUCCUCACUAUGUUUCUAAUAGACCGAAUUGGACGCAGAAUCCUUUUUACAUUGUCCUCGAUUGGUGCUGGAGUUGGAAUGCUUGUUUUGGCUCUGCAUCGUUUAUACAAAGAUGAAUUACCUGAAAGUAACUGGAUUCCCAUGUAUGGUUUGUCAAUAACAAUAUUUAUUGCUUCGAUUGGACUGAUUCCCGUUCCAUUUAUCAUUACUAUAGAUGUUUUGCCACCGAAAAUUCGCAACACAACAAUGACGAUAACCUCAAUGAUAAUGUGGGUGCUCGGUUUUAGCACAAAUAUCGCAUAUCUAUAUCUACUUCAAAUUAUAAAAUUACAUGGUUGCUUAUUAGUGUUUAGCGCAGGUUGUUUUGCUUGCGCAAUGUACGCAUUGAUUUUCAUACCUGAAACAAAAGGCAAAUCACCAGAAAGUGUCGAAAAAUUGCUGGAAUCGUGAGAGUGUUGUUGCAUUUAACAUAAUCUUGUGUGUGAGCAGUUUCACGUCAACCGAGUCAAACGCUUUAGCAAGGUCGAGAUUCAUUAUUGUUGAUUUUCCUUUGACAAAACCAUGCUGGCUGCCAUCGAUGAUGUUCUUCAUGUAAUAAUUCAAAUGAUUUGCUACUAUCGAGUCCAACAGUUUUGGUCUUACAUAAGAGCGUUUCCAUGUGUUCGGUACAUAACCAGAAUUUAACGAUUCACGCAAUAUGUAUUGGCUUCAGCCAAUAUGUGAAUGCAGUUUUUGAUGAACAUAUUCGGUAUUCCGUCGGGACCAGACACCAAUUGUUUGGCAAACCGUGGAUUUUUUUCAUAACCAAUUCUUCAGUAACAUCAGUACGUGGGAAAUUUGCACAUUGUUCGAAUAAUAUCGGGUCAUUUUCAUCAUAGCUUGCUUCGGAUUUAUCAAUCGGUUGUGUAUAUGCUUUUCCAAAGUGUGUUGCAAAUGAAUUGGCAAUUUCGUAUGGGUCGGUGCAUUUUUUGCCAUCAUAUUCCAUUUCAUUUGGAAGAUCGUUAUUGGUAUUAUUGCCCGUUCUGACAUACUCGAAGAAUUUCUGUGGAUCCCCAUUUAUGGCACGGUCUAUUCGUACGGUAAAAUUUACGUUUAGCCUCACAGGCUAUUCGUACGGUGAAUUUCAGAAUUUCGUACGAACAGCUGUUAAAAUGGAUAAUUUUCUACCUAAGUGAGCGUCAACAAAUAGUUAAAUUGAAUGAAGUCAUGUCGAAUCCCAUUGAAGUCAAAUCUGGAACAGGUCAAGGAUAUCCGAUCGGAGCGACACUGUUUGUCCUGUUUAUCAUUGAUUUGCCGCAUUGCCUGAUGAACUCCAACUUGCAGUCGUUUGCCGAUGACACUCGCUUUUCAAUGCAAAUAAAGCGACAUGAUGACUGCUUGGCACUUCAGGAUGACUUAAAUAGAGUUGUUAAUUAUUUCAAACGUAGUUGCAUGAACCUGAACGUCAAGAAAACGAAUUACGUAUCAUACCACCGUGUUGAGCUGAAGUUCGACUUCAAGUACACUAUUGAAGGCAAGUCGAUCGAAAGAGUAAAAGUGAUAAAGGAUCUUGGAGUCAUUUUGGAUGAGAAACUAAACUUUAGCGCACACAUCGAAUACAUAACAGCUAAAGUUAAAUCUCGACUUGCGUGGAUCAAGCGUUUUGGAAGAGAUUUCAAUGACCCAUGGACCAUAAAGAAACUCUUCUUCACAUUCGUAUUACCUAUUAUUGAAUACGGAUCACAAAUAUGGAACCCACACACCAAUGAGAAAAUUGCUAGAAUUGAAUCAGUCCAAAAGCAAUUUCUACUGUUCGCACUGAGAAGAAUGGAAUGGCCAAACAGAUUCGUUUUUUACAAAUGAUCACUUUGGAGGAACGAAGAAAAAUCGCACAAAUUUGCUUCAUUCACAACGUUAUUUGUGGCCAAAUAUCAUCAAAGUAUAUCAUGGAAAAAAUCAAUUUUAGAACACCACGACAUCGAACACGAAACACUGAAUUUCUUUCACUUCCGAUUAGAAUAUAUAAUUAUUCAAUGUUUGAACCAAUCAAUUUCAUGUUAAUGACAUACAAUGAAUUUUACAAAUAUUUUGUUCCUAUCACACCGCCUAAUCAAACGAAUGAAUGUGAUACUAUUUCUAUUCCAAUUUGUGAUACCUACUUAAUUGAUUUUAAUGUUAGUACAGAUACUGUCAAACAGAGAAUAACCGAUUAUUUUAGAAGAAUUAGAACUUGGAGAAACUAAAGAAGUAAAUGAAAAUAUUAUAAAUAUUGUAAAUAUGCAACCAAAUAUUUAUACCAAAUAAACCACCUCUGGCGAAGAAACGCUGUAUGGUGCAGAACAAUAAUAGA